rnacentral:rRNA from 1 species
UGGGGAAUCUUGCGCAAUGCGCGAAAGCGUGACGCAGCAACGCCGCGUGGGGGAAGACGGCCUUCGGGUUGUAAACCCCUUUCAGUUGGGACGAAGGUCGGGCGGUGAAUAGCCGUUCCGGCUGACGGUACCUUCACAAGAAGCCCCGGCUAACUACGUGCCAGCAGCCGCGGUAAUACGUAGGGGGCAAGCGUUGUCCGGAAUCAUUGGGCGUAAAGAGCGUGUAGGCGGCCCGGUAAGUCCGUUGUGAAAGUCAAGGGCUCAACCCUUGGAUGCCGGCGGAUACUGUCGGGCUAGAGUCCGGAAGAGGCGAGUGGAAUUCCUGGUGUAGCGGUGAAAUGCGCAGAUAUCAGGAGGAACACCUACGGCGAAGGCAGCUCGCUGGGACGGUACUGACGCUGAGACGCGAAAGCGUGGGGAGCAAACAGG